rnacentral:rRNA from 1 species
GACGAACCGUGCGAACGUUGUUCGGAUUCACUGGGCAUAAAGGGCGCGUAGGCGGACGGUCAAGUCGGGGGUGAAAUCUUUCAGCUUAACUGGAAAAGUGCCUCCGAUACUGACUGUCUCGAGGGAGGUAGGGGCAUGUGGAACUUCCGGUGGAGCGGUGAAAUGCGCAGAUAUCAGGAGGAACACCGAUGGCGAAGGCAGGUCUCUGGGCCGAUACUGACGCUGAGGAGCGAAAGCGUGGGGAGCGAACAGG